rnacentral:tRNA from 1 species
GCGGAUAUGGUGAAAUUGGCAGACACGAUAGAUUUAGGUUCUAUUGCCGAAAGGUGUGCAGGUUCAAAUCCUGUUAUCCGCACCA